UUAUAACAAUUGGGGACCUGAUUCUACAAGGACAACAGGAGACCUUUCAGCAGAUUUUCUUUUCUCGUAUUUUUUUUUCCCCUAUAAUUAUUUUGCAAGGUCUUUUGAGCCACCAACGUGCACCAGCUCUCCAGUAAUGUGCCAGCACAGAUGCCAGCCCUCUGCCCAGGCAGCUCUAUUCACACAUAUACAUACAUAAGAAUCAUUGCACAAAGAGCAUUUGCUUUCUGCUGCCUCCCGAGCUGCAGAGUCUCCGUAGGCUGCCUAAUUAUAAGAUCUUAGCAAUAAUUUUUUUUCCAGCGAUAAUUAACUGGUCCUGGAGAGAGCUGAAAAUAAGCACUUCCCCAGCAAGCAGCAAACUCCCCUGAGUUUUCUCUGCUAAAGUUACAACUCAGCAUGAAACUGCUCCAGCCUCCCGGGAACACAGACCAUGCCAGCACCUCCCUGCCACAGUCUGGGACACCACGACAGUCACAGGCAACCAAAUACAGGUGAAAUGGUGGGUGUGGAGUAGCAGUGGGAUCCCAAGGGGUGUGCAGUGGGGAGAAGGAUCCAAAGGCAUGUGGAAUGGGGAGAGAGAUCCCAAGGAGUGUGCGAGGGGGAGAAGGAUGCCAUGGGGCAUGGAAUGGGGAGAGGAUCUCAAGGGGUGUGCAAGGAAGAGAAGGAUCCUAAGGGUCUGUCACAGGUUUUCCACCUCCACGGGUCUGGCAUCCUUCAUCCCCCUGUAGUGCCACCCCCUGGGCUCCACAGGUCAACUUCCAACUCAGCCAGACAGGAGGGAAACUCUGCAGCUUGGAGCUCAACCUGUGACCUACCCAAAUUUCCCCGUGCAUCUGGUGUGAAGGACGAAGUAGCUCUGGUCCCUCCUGCAAGCAGAGCCAGCAGCUGGCAAAGCCAUCCCUGCAUCGAGGUGAGUCAGUGCUCAGCAUCCCAUCACCCUGCAGUUGGUUGAGUGUCUCCUCUCCUCACCAGGGAGCAAUGCCACGUGGGAUGAGUCAUGUAGAAAAUGGGUUUAUAUCCAGAUGCUGCAGGGAAACUAAUUUUGAUUUAACAAGCAGGCAAGAAUGAGGUAUCUUGAGUUUUUAUUUCAGUCCUACUCCACAGGAAACAAUAUUCACUAGCGUUAUCUUCCUUAUACUUGUUUGUAUUUGACCCAAUACUGUGUUAAAUAUAAAAUACUGAUUGAAUAAGGGUGGAUGGUGAAAAACAUGAGAUGCUAAAAAGUUGCCUCAAGCCCUCCUCCACAGACAUCCUGAAUGUUGAGAGUCACUUAAAAUUAGUAUAAAAUAGGAGGACAAUCUGAUCACUUGCUCUGUGCCCUCCCCCCCAAUCCUGCUUUGCAAGGGGAGGAUUUAGGAGCAAGAGGGGGGACUUCUCAAUUACAGAGAAGCCCACUCAGCAAAUCCAGGCUGAAGGUGGUGAUGUCCUAGACAGAGUCCAACCACCCAUUCCUACCCAGGCAUCUGUCCUGCCCUGGAUUUUCAGCAGGAGACUGAAAUGAAGUAGCCCCAGAAAGGUCCUUCUGGCACCUCCCUGUGCCUCAGGAGCCCCUGGAACAGAUUUAGAGCCAAAAGCUGCCGAUGACAAAAUGGUUUCCAAGUUAAAUCCCUUGGGAUGAAGCCUAAACACAAUGGUGGUCCUUGGGCAUCCUCAGGCCCUGGCAGGGGAUGUUUGCCUAUGGCUGUUUGCAUGGUCUGUCCCCAGGGUGGUUCCCCAUGGGUUUAGUGGCAGAGGGGGAGGAGGGCCAGGCACCCUGAGCCACAGUUGUCACUGUGGCCCACAGUGGGUCUGGGAAUCCAGUCCCCCAGACUCAGUGAAAAUUGAAGCACAUGUUUGUGAAGCACUGGCUGUCCUCCAAGUGCUUCACGGGGUCCUCACAUGAGCCCUGUGAGGUAGGUUGGUGUCUUCACCCCCAUUUUACAGAUGGUGAGACUGAGGCACAGAGAAGGGUAAUGACUUGUCAGACAGAAAAUAUGGCAUCUCCCAUUCUGGGACCUUUAUAUCCUGCUAUUUCAACCCCAGAUAUGCUCCAUCAACUGCUGGUUACUCACAGCUUGUCCUUCUCCACCCCUCCAUCUGUGGUAGGUGACAGAGCAAGGGCUGGGACCUGGGGGACCAGGAGAGGCAGCAGCAGAGCCUGGGCUCACAUGAGCUUGUUCAUCCUAUAUCCCUAAGACCACUUGUCACCCCAAGGGGAAACCUCAGCCCAAAGGCUGCUUUGGGGUGCCCUGGGCAGAGACCCCCAGCAGCCCCAUGCCACGCUGGGGUGCUGGGCACAGCACCCAGAGCCCCUUAUAGGAAGCGAAAACCCACUGGAUUUUUUUGCUGACCUGGUGACCAGAGCAUCAGGAGGGGAUGAAUAUCCAGAUGUUUCCUCUUUGGUAAUCUGCUGCAAAGUGGCACAGCCCUGCAGAGCUGGUCCCAGGGCACUGCAGGCUAGGGAGGCCUCAGCUCUGUGGGAGGUGGGGCAGAGCCAGGAGCUCAGCUCCUCAGCAUGGAGACGGAGAAACGGGAGAUGUGUGAUGGUGGCCAUAAAUCUCCUUCGCUUGCCACGUCACACCAAGACCUCUGCAGUUGUGAUUAAUCGAAGGCCAGAAAGAGAUGAUGGGAAAUCGAUGCCUUCAGGGCUAACAGGGAAGGUGCAGGCAGGACUGGGAGCAGAUCCCGGCACGUACCACAGCCCGGCACACACCAGACCCUCCUGGCUCCAGCAGCUCUGCCGGUGUGUUUGGGGAGCAACACCUGGUGUGGGUUUGCCAUUCCAGCACCAUCAAGGCUGCUCCCGACAACCAGAUGGAUGUUCCAUGUCUUGUUAUCCUGUGUUAGCACUUUGUGGCCAUGGUUAGGCAUUUAAAAAUGGAGCAUCACUAGGAUCUCCCUGUCCCAGCUCACCUCCAAGCAUCAUGCGGAUGCGUUCCUUCCCUGCAGCGAUCCUGGGAAUGUCAGAAAUCCUCCCAAAAGUGGAAUUAAAUCUGAUGAGCAACAGGCUUAUCAUCAAAAUGGAAGCAGAGAAGGCAGGCAGCCCCAUGACCCCAGUCCGAGGAGGUUCACUUCCCUCCCUCGAAGAGAAAGGGAAUCCCCUGAAGCAGAUGGGCUAGCCCCACUCAGGGGGAUGCCAGGAGCUGGAUCCCAGCUCUGCUCCCUGCCAAAGGCACACAUGCAGCAGAGCCUGGGAGGGGGCCAUGCUUUGGGCUGCCACUGGCACUGAGGCCAAAGAGGAAAGCAAAGCACCCCAGGGAGAAAAUGUCCGUGGGAGCUCCCAGGGCCCGUCUAGAGGAUGAACCAAGUUGUGCACUUAAUAUUGGCUUAGAGAAAGGGUUUCCCAGUGCUCAGAGACUGGGGCGCCCUGGAAGAGAUUCAAGUUUCAAUCUCAUAUAAGGCUUUUUGAGUCUGGACCUUCCUGUCAAGCACUUGGGAGGGAGCAGUUAAUGCUGACACGACUUAGGACCACUUAGGCGCCGAGUCUGGGUGGUGCAGGGCUGUCACCAUGCCCCUCCUCCACCACUGGGUCUUUCCCCCCAUCCUGACACCUCCAGUCCCCUGGGUGGCUCAUGCUAAGGACUCCAGUAGCCAAACCCAGGGUGUCACUAGCCACAGGCAUUGGGGCCAAGAUCCUCACUCCCAUGGGAUGCUCGAGGCCAGGUGAGUGAGCGAAGAGCCUGGCAAGUCCAGCAGGUGAAGCCCCCUAUUACCCACAGCCCCUCAGUCGGUCACUUUGUUAUGAAACCUUUGCCUAAAAAAAUAGAACAGUUCCCGAGGUUAAAAAAGAAAAAUGCUUAAAAUCGACCUCCAGGCUCUCCUGUCUGUGCGGGAGGGGCACCAGCAGCUGCUGCCUGCGGGGCCAGGGGGUGGUUUGGGGUGAGCCCACAGUGCAGGCUCUCUCCCCACUCCCCUCCGUGCCCCCGUGUGCCUGUUGGCACAAACAACGUCUUUAAGGCUUCUACCGGGACGUUUUGGUCUCCAGCGCUCCGGGCCGGUAGAGGUACCUCCAGAUGGCGUAGUAGUGGAUUCCAGCUCCGAUGGCCACGAAGAGGUGCCAGAUGGCGUGGGCGAAGGGGAUGCGGCCGUCGCUUUUGAAGAACACCAUGCCCAGGCAGUAGAAGAAGCCACCAGCCACCAGCUCCGGGAGGCCGUCCCUGUUGGGCUGGGAGCAGGCAGGGAGGAAGGGCUCAGUGCGACCACACCGUGUCUGCCCUUUCCCCACCACCCCAUCAAGACCAGAAGUGUGACCACAGCUGCAGGCAGGAUCCUCUCUCUGCCUUCUGCUACCCCCAGCAAGGCAGUGGGGACCCAGCAGCCCAGCUUUUCUGGGAGGAUUGGAACCAGAUGGUCUUUAAGGUCCUUCCAACCCCAAUCAAUUUGAUUCUGUGACUCUGCGAUUUCAACUCAACGGAGCCCAGGCAGGAGGUCUGGUGGAGAUGCACACGGUGUCUGCUGGGCACCCAAAGCCCUUGCAAAACCAACCCAGCCCACAUCAUAAUGAGGAUGGUUUUAUCCAUCACAGAGCUUUGGAGACUGCACCAACCUGCAGGGAUUUGUCCCUCGCACUGAGCCCAAGUUCUUCCCAGCGGUGGCUUACCAUGGAGAGGAUGACCAAGGCAGGGAAGAAGCCCAUGAUAACGUAGCACACCAGCUCCACCAGCUUGUACCUGUGACCAACAGAGAAACUGCUUGGAGGUAGGAGCAGAGGGAGGUUGAGUUUUAUGCUUAUAAUGUCCACGGCCAGGCUAUAGGAAAAGGGGUGGCAGUGCCAUCAUGGCAGGUCCCAUGUCCUCAUGUGUGAGUCACGCUGGCACCCUGCUCAGGGGUGAUGGACCCCCCACCCUGGCUUGGGAGCUCCAGCUCAGGGCCAGGCACUUGGGGCUUCAGGGAGAAAUCAGGGGCCUUUGGCUUUUUAUUUGGUGCCACCACGUGGAAGAAGCGACUCAUGGCAGCACGUCCCUGCUCCACGUCCCUGGUCCCACAUCGCUGCUCCACAUCCCUCCUCCACAUCCCUGCUCCACGUCCCUGCUCCCACACACCCACCAGCACGGUGCCAGGUACAGGCACUCACCGCUCAUGGAAGAAGAACACAUAGACGGUCCCAAAAGACGCCAUGAUCCAGAUGAUCCAGCGCAUGUGGGAGGCCCAGGGACCCAACUCCCUCAGGUUCAGCCUGCAAGACCCAGGUCUGUGGUGAGUAGGGGCUAGGGCAGCACCCCAGUCUGGGCUAAUACAGCAAGGGGACAGGGAAAUGCUGCCUGCAUCUGAUGACUGUCCCACCAAAGGGUCUUCCCAACUUGUAACUUCAAUUUACAGAGGUUGGAAUCUAUAGGAUAUGAAGGCUUUGUGGAAAGGGGUAGGGUACAGCCUGAAGCAGAACCAAAACCAGAGGGGAAACCCUAUCCAUGGGAGCUGGGCUGAUUUUCUGCCUUCCAGUGGGGCCAAGAGGUGGCCCCCACCCACCAACAACUCACCAGGGAGCGUAGGAUGCUGCAAUGAAGAAGUAGAUCACCAUCCUGUCAAACAUGUGCAGGCAGUGCUCCACAGUCCUGUGGGAUGGACAGACAGACAGGUCACAGCACUGGGGGCCUGCGGACCCCCUCCCCCUUCCCGAGCCCUGAGCAAUCAGGGAUGGUACCUGAGAUGCCUCUUCUUCCAGGAGAUGGUGUGGAAGAUAGUGGAGACAAUGAAGAGGCUGGACAAGCCAAAGCCAUAGAUCCAGGCUGAAAUGGUUUCCCACUGGUCAUCAGAGAGGACAUAGAGGAUGGAGCUGCCAAGGAUGCUGGGAAGGAUCCAGAACUGGAAGGCAGAAGUAAACCUCCUGUUGACUCUGCAUUUCCAUCAAGCAGCUACAAUACAGUCUCCACUUUUCCUUUUA